rnacentral:rRNA from 1 species
UAAAGGAAUUGGCGGGGGAGCACCACAAGGGGUGGAGCCUGCGGUUCAAUUGGAGUCAACGCCCGAAACCUUACCCGGGGAGACAGCAGGAUGAAGGCCGGGCUGAAGACCCUGCCAGACAAGCUGAGAGGUGGUGCAUGGCCGUCGCCGGCUCGUACCGUGAGGCGUCCGGUUAAGUCCGGCAACGAGCGAGACCCGCGCCGCCAAUUGCUCCAGCCCUCUUCGGGGGGCUGAGGAAAUUGGCGGGACUGCCGCCGUAAGGCGGAGGAAGGAGCGGGCUACGGCAGGUCAGUAUGCCCUGAAUCCCCGGGGCCACACGCGGGCUACAAUGGCGCGGACAAUGGGUGGCGAACCCGAAAGGGGGAGCUAAUCCUCAAACCGCGCCUCAGUUGGGAUCGAGGGCUGCAACCCGUCCUCGUGAACCUGGAAUCCCUAGUAACCGCGCGUCAUCAUCGCGCGGUGAAUACGUCCCUGCUCCUUGCACACACCGCCA